UGUGAGGCUGACACACAAAUUGGGCUGAAGUACUGCUCUACUUGUCACCAUACUUCCCUAGAAUAAACUGCCUUUUAAUGACUGAGAUGAAUUACGUGAAAUCAUACUGGACAGAUAUAGGGCAGGUUUUU
rnacentral:snoRNA from 1 species